GCACUAAGGGCCUGACCCAAAGCCUACUGACGUCAAUAGAAAAACCUCCCACUCACUCUGUAUGGCUUUGGAUCAGGCCAGAUAAGU